CAGAGUCAUGAGCAAGGCAGCCCAGGGCAGGCAGUGCCUCUGAGCCAGGAGUUGCUGCAGUGUGGCUGUUGUGCUCUGCAGGGAGCCCACAGCUCAAGGAUAGAAGGAGCUGCAGGUCCAUGAGGCUGCUGAAGGAAGGAAGUGGAAUUGUGGGCAGUUCAGAGAUGGUUGAGGAGAACCUUGCAGUGCUCAGCAAUUCCCGAGCAACCUGCUGUAAAUGAGAAAUGUCUCCAGUGCCCAUGAGGAGCAGCUGCCUGGUGAUUCGGUUCCCUACAGCUUACACAUGUUCCUGUGAUGCACCACCAGUCCUGCAGCUGGCUUGUGUUGGCUUGACACUUGUUGGUGCUUCCUGGCCAUUGUCAUCCUCUGUCUUUACAGCAACGUAUGAUGCGUCAUUGAUGGGUGAAAUACAGAAAAGCCAGUUCAGCCUUUGGAAGGAGUCAGAAGAAUCUGUGGAGUUUGGCAAUGGAAAGAAAACUCAAACUCACCCCUAUGAACGGGUCUUUAAAAAGGAAUGGCUAAAUGAAGGAGGAAGUCCCGCAGUGAGCAAUGUUUUGCUUCAAAUAGCCUGGGACCAAGUAUGUGAAAAUAGCACUGCAGUGUUUGUGUAGCACAAUGCGUUGCUGCUGUUGCAGGCUGGGGCGGUGUCAUGGUUUUGUAAUUUUGUAAUUUUGCUAUCAGUAUUCCACAUCAUAACAUCAUGUCAAGUAUGGAUACUUCUAUUGAAUGCGCAGUCCACAGAAGAAGACUACAUAUCCCAGAGAACAACAGGAGUGACAAUAAGUCACGGGACCAGGACGCUGUCUAUUCUCGUUCCGCAAGGCUGGGAGGCCCUCCUUCUUCUC
rnacentral:lncRNA from 1 species